AUGGAUCGUUGCUGGACGGCUAAGCGCCGCGCUCGCCACGGAUUGCCUCACAAUCCCCUUUGCAAGCUAUGCGGCCAAGAGCUCAAGUCCCUGGAUCACCUGCUUGCCCGGUGCGUCUUCUCCCGGAUUACUUGGCACGAAAUCCUCUCCUGGUGCCGUCUACCAAUCCCUACACCGUGCUCCACCGGCGCCUUCUUCGACUGGUGA
rnacentral:rRNA from 1 species